rnacentral:tRNA from 1 species
AAGUCAGAAGCGAUUUAAUUGCAGUUAGUUUCGACCUAACCUUAGAUGAAUAACAUCCUAACUUU